UGAUUUGCUCGUAGGGCGCGAGCAAGGUAAACAAAAAAAGCCCACCGAGA
rnacentral:ncRNA from 1 species